UGGGGAAUAUUGCACAAUGGGCGCAAGCCUGAUGCAGCCAUGCCGCGUGUGUGAAGAGGCCUUCGGGUUGUAAAGCACUUUCAGCGAGGAGGAAGGUGUGAACUUAAUACGUUCAUCAAUUGACGUUACUCGCAGAAGAAGCACCGGCUAACUCCGUGCCAGCAGCCGCGGUAAUACGGAGGGUGCAAGCGUUAAUCGGAAUUACUGGGCGUAAAGCGCAGCAGGCGGUUUGUUAAGUCAGAUGUGAAAUCCCCGGGCUCAACCUGGGAACUGCAUUUGAAACUGGCAAGCUAGAGUCUCGUAGAGGGGGGUAGAAUUCCAGGUGUAGCGGUGAAAUGCGUAGAGAUCUGGAGGAAUACCGGUGGCGAAGGCGGCCCCCCUGGACG
rnacentral:rRNA from 1 species